GAUGAAGAACGUAGUGAAAUGCGAUAAGUAGUGUGAAUUGCAGAAUUCAGUGAAUCAUCGAAUCUUUGAACGCACAUUGCGCCCCCUGGUAUUCCGGGGGGCAUGCCUGUCCGAGCGUCAUUGCUGCCCUCAAGCACGGCUUGUGUGUUGGGCCUCCGUCCUCCUCCCGGGGGACGGGCCCGAAAGGCAGCGGCGGCACCGCGUCCGGUCCUCGAGCGUAUGGGGCUUCGUCACCCGCUCUUGUAGGCCCGGCCGGCGCUUGCCGACACAUCAAUCUUUUUUCCAGGUUGACCUCGGAUCAGGUAGGGAUACCCGCUGAACUUAAGCAUAUCAAUAAGCGGAGGA
rnacentral:misc_RNA from 1 species